rnacentral:rRNA from 1 species
UGGUGGCGAGUGGACGAACGGGUGAGUAAUACGAUCGGAACGUGCCCAAUCGUGGGGAUAACGUAGCGAAAGUUACGCUAAUACCGCAUACGAUCUACGGAUGAAANCGGGGAUCGCAAGACCUCGCGCGAAUGGAGCGGCCGAUGUCAGAUUAGGUAGUUGGUGGGUAAAGGCUCACCAAGCCAACGAUCUGUAGCUGGUCUGAGAGGACGACCAGCCACACUGGAACUGAGACACGGUCCAGACUCCUACGGAGGCAGCAGUGGGAAUUUUGGACAAUGGGCGCAAGCCUGAUCCAGCCAUUCCGCGUGCAGGAUGAAGGCCUUCGGGUUGUAAACUGCUUUUGUACGGAACGAAACGGCGAGCUCUAAUACAGUUUGCUAAUGACGGUACCGUAAGAAUAAGCACCGGCUAACUACGUG